UUUGAUUUUUGGACUGUGGGUCCUAAUAAACUUGAAAUAAACAGUAUCUGUUCUUUUCAGCUUAAUAUCUGAAACGCGACUCACCGAGUCGCUUGUAUAUUAAACUGAUUUUUGAACUUAGGCCAUGGAAUAGGGGCUUGCUCCGUCCUGGCCACGGGUUGGCCCGGUAUUGCAGUACCUCCGGGAUCGGCCCACCCCUC
rnacentral:snRNA from 1 species